rnacentral:rRNA from 1 species
UACAGAGGGGGCAAGCGUUGUUCGGAAUUACUGGGCGUAAAGGGCGCGUAGGUGGCCUUCUAAGUUGAACGUGAAAUCCCUGGGCUCAACCCAGGAACUGCGUCCAAGACUGGGAGGCUUGAAUCCGGGAGAGGGAUGCGGAAUUCCAGGUGUAGCGGUGAAAUGCGUAGAUAUCGGAAGGAACACCGGUGGCGAAAGCGGCGCGCUGGACCUCUUCUGACGCUGAGGCGCGAAAGCCAGGGGAGCAAACGGG